rnacentral:lncRNA from 1 species
UAUAUAUUUUUUAAUUCUUGUUUUUAUGCCCCACCUACGAUAGUAGAGGGGCAUUAUGUUUUCUGGUCUGUGCCUCCGUUCGUCCGUCCGCUUCAGGUUAAAGUUUUUGGUCAAGGUAGUUUUUGAAGAAGUUGAAGUCCAAUCAACUUGAAACUUAGUACACUUGUUCCCCAUGAUAUGAUCUUUCUAAUUUUAAUGCCAAAU